UACGUAGGGGGCGAGCGUUGUCCGGAUUCAUUGGGCGUAAAGAGCUCGUAGGCGGCUUGGCAAGUCGGGUGUGAAAACUUCAGGCUCAACCUGGAGAUGCCACUCGAUACUGCUAUGGCUAGAGUCCGGUAGGGGACCACGGAAUUCCUGGUGUAGCGGUGAAAUGCGCAGAUAUCAGGAGGAACACCCGUAGCGAAGGCGGCACUCUGGGCCGAUACUGACACUGAGGAGCGAAAGCGUGGGGAGCGAACAGG
rnacentral:rRNA from 1 species